rnacentral:rRNA from 1 species
UGGGGAAUAUUGCACAAUGGGCGCAAGCCUGAUGCAGCAACGCCGCGUGAGGGAUGACGGCCUUCGGGUUGUAAACCUCUUUUAGUAGGGAAGAAGCGAAAGUGACGGUACCUGCAGAAAAAGCACCGGCUAACUACGUGCCAGCAGCCGCGGUAAUACGUAGGGUGCGAGCGUUGUCCGGAAUUAUUGGGCGUAAAGAGCUCGUAGGCGGUCUGUCGCGUCUGCUGUGAAAACCCGAGGCUCAACCUCGGGCCUGCAGUGGGUACGGGCAGACUAGAGUGCGGUAGGGGAGAAUGGAAUUCCUGGUGUAGCGGUGGAAUGCGCAGAUAUCAGGAGGAACACCGAUGGCGAAGGCAGUUCUCUGGGCCGUAACUGACGCUGAGGAGCGAAAGCGUGGGGAGCGAACAGGAUUAGAUACCCUGGUAGUCCACGCCGUAAAACGUUGGGCGCUAGAUGUGGGGACCAUUCCACGGUUUCCGUGUCGCAGCUAACGCAUUAAGCGCCCCGCCUGGGGAGUACGGCCGCAAGGCUAAAACU